GACAGAGGGUGCAAACGUUGUUCGGAAUUACUGGGCGUAAAGCGCACGUAGGCGGAUUGUUAAGUUAGGGGUGAAAUCCCAGGGCUCAACCCUGGAACUGCCUUUAAUACUGGCAAUCUCGAGUCCGAGAGAGGUGAGUGGAAUUCCGAGUGUAGAGGUGAAAUUCGUAGAUAUUCGGAGGAACACCAGUGGCGAAGGCGGCUCACUGGCUCGGUACUGACGCUGAGGUGCGAAAGCGUGGGGAGCAAACAGGG
rnacentral:rRNA from 1 species